rnacentral:lncRNA from 10 species
AAGGAUACUGAGGCACUGUGAGGUUCACUGAAAGCUGGACUGUGAGGAAGAUUCGGGCCGUCGGACUCCAGACCCCAAGCUCUAACAUACUAGGAGGGCAUCCCAGGAGAAGGCAGAGUCCAGGAGGCGGAUGUUGGGAAGCAAAUCCUGAACUCAUCAAGUCCCAUAGCCCCUUUGUCUAUGGACCUUCUGCCAGCAUCUUCUGUAAG